rnacentral:rRNA from 1 species
UACGGAGGAGGCAAGCGUUAUCCGGAAUUAUUGGGCGUAAAGCGUCCGCAGGUGGCGAUUCAAGUCUGCGGUCAAAGACUGGGGCUUAACCCUGGAAAGGCCGUGGAAACUGAAUAGCUAGAGUGCAGUAGGGGUAGAGGGAAUUCCCGGUGUAGCGGUGAAAUGCGUAGAUAUCUGGAGGAACACCGGUGGCGAAGGCGGCGUCCUGGACCAACACUGACACUGAUGAACGAAAGCCAGGGGAGCAAACGGG